UUUCUAGUGUGGUACGGAUUUGAUCGGA
rnacentral:sRNA from 1 species